GCUACAGGCUAAAGAAGAAAUACUUCAAUGGUUAUACUGCUCAGGAAGCAUUAUCAAAUAAGCCAGCGAACAUUACUCAUGAGAAUUGGACCAGCCUUGUCAAUAAAUGGUCCGAUGAGAGAAACAAGAAAAUAUGUCAAAUGAACAAGGAAAACCGAGAAGCUGUCAAGCAUCACCAAAAGACUGGAUCUAUGUCUUAUGUUGCCUAUUUCAGCAAACUUAAAAAAGACAAGUACAAUAAUCAGGACCCAAGUCCUAUUGAGUUUUUCAAAGACACCCAUAUAAACAGCAA